rnacentral:misc_RNA from 1 species
ACACAGCAUUGUGAACCCGAAGCUGUCAAACAUAUGUAAACAAAAAACCAAUAAGGCGAUGGUUCACUUGUUAAUGAAGAAGCCAAAUAAUGAAAAAUGAUCCACUGAGUUUACACAUCUUGCAUAUUUGAGCUACAGAUAUUGGACUAAUUAUGAGGCAAUAACUAAAAGUAUAUACAACUAAAGCUAAACAAAACCAGUUAAAUGACCAGAUAAAGAAAAUGUACCCCAGAUCAGUGCAAAAGCUGAUCCUAGGGUCAAGAUUUUAUCCCCUCGUCUUGUUUUUUAACUGAAUUAAAUUAAAAGCAAAAGCCAUGUUUCUAUUAAUCUUAUUCUAAAAUUUCUCAGUCAUCUGUGGUUUCGACCAGGUUUUCAAAUAAGGCUGCAAUGUUGAAUAAUGACCAUUUCAUAAAGGGAAUUAGAACUCCUUUACAUUAUUUAGCAAAACAGUAUUGGAUUCAAAAUACCAAAUGUAACAGCCCAAUAUGGCUGUUACCGAAAACUAUGCACAGGUUGAAUGGUUGUAAUGUCUGUUUUACCAUGACAGACAUGUUGUUAACCUCUUUUUUGCUGCCUCCCACCCUGCUUCUUUUGGCUGCCUAUUUCUCACCUCCAACUCACUUUGGAAUACCCAAACACAAGGCUGCUUACCAAGCUAGGGUUUCCUGAAUCUAUAAAAAUAAUAUUAUCUAACAUCAAUUACUCGUGGCCAAGUUUUGGUCCGGAACCGGUCAAUGGUUCUCAUAAUUGGUCUGAUACCAUGUUACCUUGGUAGAAAAGUUAUGUGUAUUUCAUCAAGAGUUGAUACGAAGUUAUGUACAAAGAUUCCUAAGAUUAAGCUAACUAAUUAGGAAUAUCUACAUCU